AGUGCCGCAGCUAACGCAUUAAGCACUCCGCCUGGGGAGUACGACCGCAAGGUUGAAACUCAAAGGAAUUGACGGGGGCCCGCACAAGCGGUGGAGCAUGUGGUUUAAUUCGAAGCAACGCGAAGAACCUUACCAGGUCUUGACAUCCCAGUGACUGCCCUAAAGAUAGGGUUUCCCUUCGGGGCACUGGUGACAGGUGGUGCAUGGUUGUCGUCAGCUCGUGUCGUGAGAUGUUGGGUUAAGUCCCGCAACGAGCGCAACCCUUAUUGUUAGUUGCCAUCAUUGAGUUGGGCACUCUAGCGAGACUGCCGGUAAUAAACCGGAGGAAGGUGGGGAUGACGUCAAAUCAUCAUGCCCCUUAUGACCUGGGCUACACACGUGCUACAAUGGCUGGUACAACGAGUCGCAAGCCGGUGACGGCAAGCUAAUCUCUGAAAGCCAGUCUCAGUUCGGAUUGUAGGCUGCAACUCGCCUACAUGAAGUCGGAAUCGCUAGUAAUCGCGGAUCAGCACGCCGCGGUGAAUACG
rnacentral:rRNA from 1 species